UGAUAUGAGGGCGAUCUGGCUGUGACGUCUGUCACCCCACCGAUGGCCAGGGUUGAUUCGGCUGAUCUGGCUGCCUAAGCUCAUGUCCCCUUCUUCCCUCACUGCUCCACGUGCAUCGCUCCCAAAGCUGCGCGCUAGAUCAAAGAAGACGAACUUCCCCGAUAGAGAAGGACCAUUCUUCAGUCAAGGGUAUAUGAGUAGCUAUGCUCUCCAGGUAGAACCUCCAAACAGGCCCUCAAAUUACCCCAAAACUAAUAGGCAUACAACAACAAACACUUAUCAGCUCACAUUUUCUGAGGGUCAGGAAAGUGAGUGUGGCU
rnacentral:snRNA from 1 species